rnacentral:tRNA from 1 species
UGGCUCAGUUGGUAGAGCAAGGUGUUUGCAACGCCAGCAUGGUGUGUGCAACGCCAGGGUUGUGGGUUCGAUUCCCAC